rnacentral:rRNA from 1 species
UGCGUAGGCGGGUCUUUAAGUCAGGGGUGAAAUCCUGGAGCUCAACUCCAGAACUGCCUUUGAUACUGAAGAUCUUGAGUCCGGGAGAGGUGAGUGGAACUGCGAGUGUAGAGGUGAAAUUCGUAGAUAUUCGCAAGAACACCAGUGGCGAAGGCGGCUCACUGGCCCGAUACUGACGCUGAGGCACGAAAGCGUGGGAGCAAACA